rnacentral:rRNA from 1 species
UACGUAGGGUGCAAGCGUUGUCCGGAAUUAUUGGGCGUAAAGAGCUCGUAGGCGGUCUGUCGCGUCUGCUGUGAAAACUCAGGGCUUAACCCUGAGCUUGCAGUGGGUACGGGCAGACUAGAGUGCGGUAGGGGGAGACUGGAAUUCCUGGUGUAGCGGUGAAAUGCGCAGAUAUCAGGGAGGAACACCGGUGGCGAAGGCGG